rnacentral:rRNA from 1 species
AUGAGGCCUCGGGUGCUGCUCGUCGCGUUUGCCGUCCUCGCAGCACUGCCCCUCGCCCACAGCCAAGUGGCGAACCCAUGGCCGUCCUGCGACAACUGUGACUCGUGCACCAAGUCCAACUCUCCGGGGUGCACGCGUUGGAAUUACUUAAGCUCCUGGGUUUUUUACCGUCGACCAAGUGCAAGAGCUGUGUCAUGUCCGCCAUCAGGCCACAAGAGCUUCCAGUGCACAAACCGCAUCAACGAUUUCUGCGAGAGCUGCUGCACGCCGGCUGCUCAGAGCUUUAGCUCCCUUUGCAUCUGGAUUGAUGCGGAGAAGAAAUGA